rnacentral:rRNA from 1 species
UACGUAGGGUGCAAGCGUUAAUCGGAAUUACUGGGCGUAAAGCGUGCGCAGGCGGUGAUGUAAGACAGGUGUGAAAUCCCCGGGCUUAACCUGGGAACUGCAUUUGUGACUGCAUCGCUGGAGUGCGGCAGAGGGGGAUGGAAUUCCGCGUGUAGCAGUGAAAUACGUAGAUAUGCGGAGGAACACCGAUGGCGAAGGCAAUCCCCUGGGCCUGCACUGACGCUCAUGCACGAAAGGCGUGGGGAGCAAACAGG